GCGAGUUACGAUUUGAUGCAAGGUUAAGCAGUAAAUGUGGAGCCGUAGCGAAAGCGAGUCUGAAUAGGGCGUUUAGUAUUUGGUCGUAGACCCGAAACCAGGUGAUCUACCCUUGGUCAGGUUGAAGUUCAGGUAACACUGAAUGGAGGACCGAACCGACUUACGUUGAAAAGUGAGCGGAUGAACUGAGGGUAGCGGAGAAAUUCCAAUCGAACCUGGAGAUAGCUGGUUCUCUCCGAAAUAGCUUUAGGGCUAGCCUCAAGUGAUGAUUAUUGGAGGUAGAGCACUGUUUGGACGAGGGGCCCCUCUCGGGUUACCGAAUUCAGACAAACUCCGAAUGCCAAUUAAUUUAACUUGGGAGUCAGAACAUGGGUGAUAAGGUCCGUGUUCGAAAGGGAAACAGCCCAGACCACCAGCUAAGGUCCCAAAAUAUAUGUUAAGUGGAAAAGGAUGUGGCGUUGCCCAGACAACUAGGAUGUUGGCUUAGAAGCAGCCAUCAUUUAAAGAGUGCGUAAUAGCUCACUAGUCGAGUGACACUGCGCCGAAAAUGUACCGGGGCUAAACAUAUUACCGAAGCUGUGGAUUGUCCUUUGGACAAUGGUAGGAGAGCGUUCUAAGGGCGUUGAAGCAUGAUCGUAAGGACAUGUGGAGCGCUUAGAAGUGAGAAUGCCGGUGUGAGUAGCGAAAGACGGGUGAGAAUCCCGUCCACCGAUUGACUAAG
rnacentral:rRNA from 1 species